CCUUCGGGUUGUAAAGCUCUUUCGGCAGGAACGAAAAGGCCACGGCUAAUACCUGUGGUCGAUGACGGUACCUGAAGAAGAAGCACCGGCUAACUACGUGC
rnacentral:rRNA from 1 species